GUUACAGCCUCCUACGUCCCAGCUGUGCGUUUCCUGUGAAAAGAAUAAGGGCCGCUCAGCACACGUUAAGAUCCAAUUGGCACUAAUUGGACCAAGCUGGCAGUGCCCAGGGCAGCCUGAGUCCUGUCACCAUGGAUUUGACUCACCAAGCAAAGCAGUGGCCGUGGGUGUCUACGGAGCCCACCAUUAGUGUCAUUUUGGGAAGCUCAAGUGAACAUGGAUGGUGCUUUGUGAGUCAACAUCACUGUCCGGCCAAAGCUUGCAGCCAGAGACCUAGAGCUUAUAAGUGACUUACCCACAAACAGUCUUACACCAAGGCCAGGGCUGGAGCCUGGGCCUCCCAGGUGUCAGCUCAGAGGUUGCUCUACCGGCCCCUUCAUCUGCUGAUGGCCCCAGGAAGUCUCCUCUAGAAGAGGAAGGAGGUUCUAGCUCUUCCCUUCCUCCCAGGGUACAAGACCUCCACCCUGAUCAUCAAACCCCACCCAGGGAGAGAAUCUCAACCCAAUUCCAGAAUACUGAGCUCCAAAAUGGACUCUUGACCACAAGACUGAAACACAAUCACAAAUCCUGGACCCUGAAACGGAAACCUGCCCUCCAGGAAUGGAACCCUCAUCCUCAACCUGGAACCCAUACUCCCAAAUGGGAGCCUCAAGAUCAGCCCAAAAUCUUGCCUGCAGAAAUAGCACCUUCACCCCAAAAUACCACCUCAUGCCUCAGG
rnacentral:lncRNA from 10 species